rnacentral:rRNA from 1 species
AGAGCGAACGCUGGCGGCGUGCUUAACACAUGCAAGUCGAACGCGCAGCAUUCUGUAGCAAUACAGGGUGUGGGCGCGUGGCGAACGGGUGCGUAACACGUGGAUAACCUUCCUUCGGGUGGGGAAUAACCCAGUGAAAAUUGGGCUAAUACCGCAUAACAUCGCGAUGGCACAUGCCGUUGCGUUCAAAGGCGCAAGUCGCCAGAAGAGGGAUCCGCGGCCGAUUAGCUUGUUGGCGGGGUAACGGCCCACCAAGGCUUUGAUCGGUAGCCGGACUGAGAGGUUGGCCGGCCACACUGGAACUGAGACACGGUCCAGACUCCUACGGGAGGCAGCAGUGGGGAAUCUUGCACAAUGGACGAAAGUCUGAUGCAGCAACGCCGCGUGGGGAUGAAGCUUCUCGGAGUGUAAACCCCUUUCGACCCGGACGAAUGCCCGCAAGGGUUUGACGGUACGGGUAUAAGAAGCCCCGGCUAACUACGUGCCAGCAGCCGC